rnacentral:rRNA from 1 species
GGAAGGGGUGUAUUUAUUAGAUAAAAAACCAACGCCCUUCGGGGCUUCUUGGUGAUUCAUGAUAACUUCACGGAUCGCAUGGCCUUGCGCCGGCGACGGUUCAUUCAAAUUUCUGCCCUAUCAACUUUCGAUGGUAAGAUAGUGGCUUACCAUGGUCUCAACGGGUAACGGGGAAUUAGGGUUCUAUUCCGGAGAGGGAGCCUGAGAAACGGCUACCACAUCCAAGGAAGGCAGCAGGCGCGCAAAUUACCCAAUCCCAAUUCGGGGAGGUAGUGACAAUAAAUACUGAUACGGGGCUCUUUCGGGUCUCGUAAUUGGAAUGAGUACAAUCUAAAUCCCUUAACGAGGAACAAUUGGAGGGCAAGUCUGGUGCCAGCAGCCGCGGUAAUUCCAGCUCCAAUAGCGUAUAUUAAAGUUGUUGCCGUUAAAAAGCUCGUAGUUGAACCUUGGACCUGGCUGAUCUGUCCUCCUAAUCGAGCGCACGGAUUCGGUCGGGUCUUUCCUUCUGGGGAGCCCUAUGCCCUUCACUGGGUGUAGUGGGGAACCAGGACUUUUAC